UACGGAGGAUCCAAGCGUUAUCCGGAUUUAUUGGGUUUAAAGGGUGCGUAGGCGGCCUGUUAAGUCAGGGGUGAAAGACGGUAGCUCAACUAUCGCAGUGCCCUUGAUACUGAUGGGCUUGAAUGGACUAGAGGUAGGCGGAAUGAGACAAGUAGCGGUGAAAUGCAUAGAUAUGUCUCAGAACACCGAUUGCGAAGGCAGCUUACUAUGGUUCUAUUGACGCUGAGGCACGAAAGCGUGGGGAUCGAACAGG
rnacentral:rRNA from 1 species